AUUAGUUGCUACGAAAGGGCACUCUAAUGAGACUGCCGGUGACAAACCGGAGGAAGGUGGGGAUGACGUCAAGUCCUCAUGGCCCUUAUAGGUGGGGCUACACACGUCAUACAAUGGCUGGUACAAAGGGUUGCCAACCCGCGAGGGGGAGCCAAUCCCAUAAAGCCAGUCGUAGUCCGGAUCGCAGUCUGCAACUCGACUGCGUGAAGUCGGAAUCGCUAGUAAUCGUGGAUCAGCAUGUCACGGUGAAUACCGGUUCCCGGGUCUU
rnacentral:rRNA from 1 species